CCAAAUGACUCUCAGCAACGGAUAU
rnacentral:rRNA from 1 species